ACAUCGGAAUCUGCCUAUUCGUGGGGGAUAACGUAGGGAAACUUACGCUAAUACCGCAUACGACCUUCGGGUGAAAGCAGGGGACCUUCGGGCUUUGCGCGGAUAGAUGAGCCGAUGUCGGAUUAGCUAGUUGGCGGGGUAAAGGCCCACCAAGGCGACGAUCCGUAGCUGGUCUGAGAGGAUGAUCAGCCACACUGGAACUGAGACACGGUCCAGACUCCUACGGGAGGCAGCAGUGGGGAAUAUUGGACAAUGGGCGCAAGCCUGAUCCAGCCAUACCGCGUGGGUGAAGAAGGCCUUCGGGUUGUAAAGCCCUUUUGUUGGGAAAGAAAAGCAGUCGGUUAAUACCCGGUUGUUCUGACGGUACCCAAAGAAUAAGCACCGGCUAACUUCGUGCCAGCAGCCGCGGUAAUACGAAGGGUGCAAGCGUUACUCGGAAUUACUGGGCGUAAAGCGUGCGUAGGUGGUUGUUUAAGUCUGUUGUGAAAGCCCUGGGCUCAACCUGGGAAUGGCAGUGGAUACUGGGCGACUAGAGUGUGGUAGAGGGUAGUGGAAUUCCCGGUGUAGCAGUGAAAUGCGUAGAGAU
rnacentral:rRNA from 1 species